rnacentral:tRNA from 1 species
ACUCAAGUAGCUUAAUACAACAAAGCAUUGGCCUUGUAAACCAAAGACUGAAGACUACCAACCUUCCUAGAGUG